CCUACGGGGGGCUGCAGUGAGGAAUAUUGGUCAAUGGACGAGAGUCUGAACCAGCCAAGUAGCGUGAAGGAUGACUGCCCUAUGGGUUGUAAACUUCUUUUAUCUGGGAAUAAAAUGUUCCACGUGUGGGCUUUUGUAUGUACCAUAUGAAUAAGGCUCGGCUAACUCCGGUCCAGCAGCCGCGGGAAUACGGGGGAUCCGAGCGUUAUCCGGAUUUCUUGGGUUUAAAGGGAGCGUGGGUGGAUUGUUAAGUCAGUUGUGAAAGGUUGGGGCUCAACCGUAAAAGUGCAGUUGAAACUGGCAGUCUUGAGUAGAGGAGAGGUGGGCGGAAUGCGUGGUGUAGCGGUGAAAUGCUUAGAUAUCACGAAGAACUCCGAUUGCGAAGGCAGCUCACUGGACUGCAACUGACACUGAGGCUCGAAAGCGUGGGUAUCAAACAGGAUUAGAUACCCCAGUAGUC
rnacentral:rRNA from 1 species